rnacentral:lncRNA from 1 species
UUCAACUCGCCGGCAACAAAAACCCAGAAAUGUCGAGUCUUUCGAAGAAAAGGCAUAAACUUUACAGUUGUUUCAGCCGUAGAGCAUCGGCUUUUCUCUAAAUUGGCCGUAUCUUGACUUGGAUUCUCAAAAGCACCUGCUUUAGAUUUGAGUAUGUUUACUUUGUUUUGCCUCGUUAGCCUAGAUUUCAUAGUUUUAUUGGUUCAGUGCUUGAAGUUGUUUUGAUAGUAGAUUAAUGGAAAAGUUUUGUCCUUUCUUGAAUCUAUAUGAGAAACAAUACUUCUGUAUCUAGUGAAGCGUUGGAGUUUGAUGGUGGUCACAUUUAGAAAUCACUCUGCGAUAUUGGUUAUAUAUGGUGAUGUUGGCGCAAUGUAGAGCUUAAAGUUCGCUCCUUUAUAAUGAUAUGACUGCUUCUUAAUGUAAUACAGUUUUCUUAUUAGUGUUUAUCUUUCGCUUCUUAAUCUCAGAUUAGGCAAUAAUUUCUCUACAAUCUCUAGGAGAAGAGCAUAUAAAGGUGUGGAGAACAUUGACAUAUGAUUGGUUUACAGUAAUCCUGCAGAGUCUGAAUCUCUUCCACAUCCACUGCUGUCACACAGUUACUUGCAACCUCCAGCUGCGCUUUCACCUUGUACCAAGUCCAUGCGCCGUGGCACACGCCAUGGACGAGCACAAACUGUUUCUGGUUCUUCUUCUCAAUUGCCUUUCUUACUCUCAACAUCUUGGUUCAACACUUGCAUACAUACGGUAAGUUUCCCAAAUACUCUUUGUAUAUUGGCUGUUAGUUUUUGGUCGUUCUCUGAGAUCUAGAGAAUGCUAAAACAACACUACAUUGAUUGUUAGAUUUCUCAUUUCAGCUAUAGUAUGAAAUAAAGUCUGAACGUUUAGAAAGAUCCAUUUUAGAACAUGUUCAAUUGUAUUAAAUCCAGAUACAUUUUUUGUUGGUGGACCUGAAGACUCCAUCUGAGGUCAUUUGUUGGCGUGUUAGAGUUCGUGGUGAUUGUUUCAGUGACCUUCACAGGUUAGAAGUGGUCAUAGUAUAGGCAGGAAUAAGUUAUUGAAACGAGAGAUUAUAAAAGAUUAGUUGAUCAGCUUAGUUAGUUUGGGUGAAAAACUGCUUAGAUUUCUCAAUAUAAGAACUCUUAUUAAUCCAGUGAGGAUCCUAGAUUUAUUUAGGCAAUAUUUACCUGCUAUCUUUAAACGAGAUGAUGACUAGAAUUCUUGAGGCUUUGAUACAUUGGAUCUGUAUCUUUGAUCCCCCAUUACUUCUUCAACCUCCUUAAUAUUCUUGUUCAUAAUCCUUCUAUGUUUAAAAUCCCUGGGCACACAUUAUCAUAUUUGCAUACGCGACCAGUCUCCACAGUCCACCCUUUCUCCUUGAAGCUUCAAGUUGUAACUUCACACACCCUAGCAGAAUCCUCGGCAAGCACAUACCACUCAUGGUUAUUUGCCUUCUCUUUUUAGCCUCUUUGUUCAUCUAUUCUUUUAACUAGUUUCUCUGGUAAUAGAAGAUAUAGAGAAUGGUUCACUAAUAUUUUACUGACCAUUUGUUUUUACUUAGUAUUGACUAUAAGAUCUAGCUAUGAUUAUAUGAACCCAUGAAACCUUCUUAAACAAAAUCAUAUUCGCACUGCUAAACAUUCUUCUAGUAUGCAUUUUCAGCUUGUCUACAUAUAGCAGAUCACGACUAACUUUUUUUUAAUUUUUUCAUAGAAGCUGAAGUUCAUAGUAAUAUACUUAUAAAUGCAGGUUUAUAGGCAUAUGAUCUACAUUAAUACGAUGCUGGAAAUUUUCAGGUAGUGUGUUAUCCUCUUCUUACAUUCUUAUUUAUAUAACCAUUCUUACAAAUAAUAUUAUUUGGUUAUGUCUUAUACAUAUAGAGUGUACUCACCCAUAUCACUCUCAUCUCGCUUAGUGUAGUCGUGAAGUUGAAUUUUGUAACUGUGAUGCAGUGAAGAUCUCAGAUUCAUUUAGGCAUAUUUAUCUGCAAUCUCCAAAAGACGAGUACAGAGUUCUUGAGGCUUGGAGAACAUUGCCAUAUGAUCUGCAUCUUUGAUCUUCAUUACUUCUUUUACUGGAAAGUUCUUGAUCAUCCAGCGCUGGUAAUCCUCGGUUAUCGCGCGGUCCUCUCCACAGAUGAUAUAUAUACGUGUAACGGAUCCAUACCCUUCCUCACUGAAGCUUCUUGUCCCUGCCAGAUUGUUUGUAACGAUCGGGUUUACCCUCACCAACAUUUUUGCCAAUUCAAGAUCCUAAUCCGCCACAACAAUCAUCAAUUAAAAAGUUGACUGAGGUUACAAGCAAAUCUCAUUUGGGUUUUAAGUAGGAGUCUUACUUGGACCGGAGAGAGUUGAUACAAAUCCCUGGCCAUGGAUUUUGGUCCGAAAAGAACAAACUCUAGAGGGCGAUCAG